rnacentral:rRNA from 1 species
UUUAUCGAAUCCAGUGGCAAACGGGUGAGUAACACGUAAACAACCUGCCUUCAGGAUGGGGACAACAGACGGAAACGACUGCUAAUACCGAAUACGUUCCACGGGCCGCAUGACCUGUGGAAGAAAGGGUAGCCUCUACCUGUAAGCUAUCGCCUGAAGAGGGGUUUGCGUCUGAUUAGGCAGUUGGUGAGGUAACGGCCCACCAAACCAACGAUCAGUAGCCGGUCUGAGAGGAUGAACGGCCACACUGGAACUGAGACACGGUCCAGACUCCUACGGGAGGCAGCAGUGGGGAAUCUUCCGCAAUGGACGAAAGUCUGACGGAGCAACGCCGCGUGAGUGAAGACGGCCUUCGGGUUGUAAAGCUCUGUGAUCCGGGACGAAAGAGCCUUGGGUAAAUAGCCUUAGGAAGUGACGGU